rnacentral:rRNA from 1 species
GACGAACGCUGGCGGCGUGCUUAACACAUGCAAGUCGAACGGAAAGGCCCUGCUUUUGUGGGGUGCUCGAGUGGCGAACGGGUGAGUAACACGUGAGUAACCUGCCCUUGACUUUGGGAUAACUUCAGGAAACUGGGGCUAAUACCGGAUAGGAGCUCCUGCUGCAUGGUGGGGGUUGGAAAGUUUCGGCGGUUGGGGAUGGACUCGCGGCUUAUCAGCUUGUUGGUGGGGUAGUGGCUUACCAAGGCUUUGACGGGUAGCCGGCCUGAGAGGGUGACCGGCCACAUUGGGACUGAGAUACGGCCCAGACUCCUACGGGAGACAGCAGUGGGGAAUAUUGCACAAUGGGCGGAAGCCUGAUGCAGCAACGCCGCGUGCGGGAUGACGGCCUUCUGGUUGUAAACCGCUUUCGCCUGUGACGAAGCGUGAGUGACGGUAAUGGGUAAAGAAGCACCGGCUAACUACGUG